AAAUUAUGAUGAAAAUGCAUCUGCAGACCUAUUCGUGAAGACUAGAACUAUUCACUACCCACUAAGCUGAAUUU
rnacentral:snoRNA from 1 species